rnacentral:rRNA from 1 species
UAGGGAAUAUUGCACAAUGGGCGAAAGCCUGAUGCAGCAACGCCGCGUGCGCGAUGACGGCCUUCGGGUUGUAGAGCGCUUUUCGGGGAGAUGAGGAAGGACAGUAUCCCCGGAAUAAGGCUCGGCUAACUACGUGCCAGCAGCCGCGGUAACACGUAGGAGCCAAGCGUUAUCCGAAUUCACUGGGCGUAAAGCGCGUGUAGGCGGCUUGGUAAGUUGGAUGUGAAGGCUCCUGGCUCAGCUGGGAGAGGACGUUCAAUACUGCCGGGCUAGAGGGCGACAGAGGGAGGUGGAAUUCCCGGUGUAGUGGUGAAAUGCGUAGAUAUCGGGAGGAACACCAGUGGCGAAAGCGGCCUCCUGGGUCGCACCUGACGCUCAGACGCGAAAGCUAGGGGAGCGAACGG